rnacentral:misc_RNA from 1 species
AAGGAUCAUUAACAAGAAAAUUAGUCCCUUAACCGGGGCUUCUUUUUUUCCAACUCCACUUUUUCUCUGUGAACUAUGGGCAUCUGCCCCCCUCCCUAUUUUUCUAACGCCGGCAUUGAACUAACAAUCGAAAAAUUUCGACCGUAACAAGUCGAUCUUAAUUCAAAAAAUAAGAACAACUCUUAACAACGGAUAUCUUGGUUCUC